GUGCAGUGCAUUGUGGGAUAGGUCAUGCUGCACAUUUUGACAAAUUUAGUAAGUCAUGCACAAUUUUUGCAUACUAUGCACUGCUAAGUCUAUACAGCAGAAAGUAGUAUGCUAUUGUGAUCAUUCUGCGCACAGAAAAGACCAACACUGGCUCACUGCAAAUGUGUACUAAAAUAAAAGUGGGGACAUUCAGUUUUGCAGUUUGAUAUUAGAUUUAAAAUGUUUGCCGUGAUGUCCUUUGCUCUCUUUCCGCGCGAGAGGCCUUUGUAAUCUCACACCGGUAGCAGGGGUGAGAAAACACGAACACACAAAAAACAAAUGCGUUGUUUAUUUGCAGCACACAAUCUCAUUCUGUGUUUCAGAGUCUCUGGAGGAAGUCUUUCAGUCGCCCUUCACCUCGCUGUGGGUCCCGAUCAGCCCGCGUGUCGUCUGUCAAAUCUCCACACGGGAGAAGAAAAAGACUCAGGAUGAGGGAGAGACGCAUCUGAAUCCAUUCCCCGGCACACAUUCUCUGAGACUGUGGCAGGGCCGCUUGACUGUUACUGGGGAAACAGAUGAUGAGAGAGCGCGAUGACGAACCCACCGGGGACUGAAGAGGUGCGUUCAGCUGACAGCGAAAGUGGCCCACUUCAUUCAUCUCCACCAAUG
ensembl:lncRNA